rnacentral:rRNA from 1 species
UACGUAGGGUGCAAGCGUUGCCCGGAAUUACUGGGCGUAAAGCGUGCGCAGGCGGUUUCUUAAGUCAGAUGUGAAAGCCCCGGGCUUAACCUGGGAACUGCGUUUGAAACUGGGAGACUUGAGUGUGGCAGAGGGGGGUGGAAUUCCACGUGUAGCAGUGAAAUGCGUAGAUAUGUGGAGGAACACCGAUGGCGAAGGCAGCCCCCUGGGUUAACACUGACGCUCAUGCACGAAAGCGUGGGGAGCAAACAGG